ACAUCUCUUCCUGUAAUGUUUGUAGGUAAUUCGGCUGGGGGCCACCCCUGUUAGCCUGAGCUUGCUCUCUAUCCAGGUUUAUGCUUCCUCUUCAGAGAAGGAGACUUCCAAAAAGGAGUUGCUGAAAAUUGAGGAGCUGUCACUCUACUCCUCUCCAGCUCGUGAGACUAAAUAUGUGGAGAAUCCACAAACCCAAUUGGAAGAGGGGGUUUCGCGUUUACGGCAUGUUAUGGAACCAUAUACAGCCUGGUGUCAGGAUCUUUAUGCCAAAGCUAUGCCCAAAUUAGAAAAAGCUGUUGAGCAUGGUAGAGAGGGCUGUGAAUUUCUCCAAAACCCCCCUGCUGGAUUUUAUCCAAGGCUUGGUGUGAUAGGUUUUGCUGGAAUUGUUGGAUUGUUUCUUGCUAGAGGCUCCAGAAUAAAGAAGUUAGUAUAUCCUGCAGGUCUCAUGGGUAUUGGUGCCUCCAUGUAUUACCCUCAGCAGGCGGUUUCUAUUGCAAAGGUUGCUGGUACACAGCUGUAUGACUGGAGUCUUCAGGGAUAUAUUGCUGUAGAAUCUCUUUGGAAGGAUAAUCCUAAGAAGAAGAAAUCUGGGAAAAAAAGUGAUAAGGGUGAUGCAGAUAGUGACAAGCCCUUGGAAAUCCAUGCUGCUUCAAAUGAAGAGCGAGCCCCGAAGUAGAACACCAGAUCACUUGGCAUCAAACAGAUGUGAUGGAACGUACACAUCUGCAUUUCUUACUACGUGAAUAUAAUUUCUGGUAAACAAAAAAUAUAGAUAUGAGCAACAAUUUCCCAAGAAAAAGAGGAAAACCGUCUGAAUCCGUUUUGAUUUUGAAUGUGACUAAUCUGCCUUCUGCCUCAGGAAAGACUGACAGUGUGCUGCUUGGGCUUCUGGUGUGGAAUCUGUGAAAGGACACUAAGUAUUUUGGGUCAGUCCUGAGACCUUGUCCUCAGUUCUGCAGUGGGACUCAAGUCUGCCCAUGCUUGUCCCAUUGCAGGAUCAGCGUUGCAAGUAGCAAGUCUCAAAAUUCCUCGGUCUCUUGUUAUUAUUUAUAUAUAAAAUAAAAUUCCAGUUACACAAAAUGGUCCUUUUUUUUCCUCCUCUUAUCUUCUUUAAACUCAUGUAUGUGACACUUGCACAAUACGUGAAAGGUUCUCGAGAUGCUGUUGACAAUGCCUGUAUUUUUUAACAGUGAGGAAAAGCUUAAAGUAGCAUGAUGUUUUGGCUAACAUUAGUUAAUAGAAUUGAGAAUGAGAAAAAUUACAAUGACUCUUGUGUUUUGUCUGAGUCGCCCCCUCCUUUCUAUACAAAUCUUCUGCCUCAUCAGUGCCAGCGGGAGGUAUAUAAUGAAGCAUCUGUGAGUUCCUGUCUAGUAGAUGGAUGGGAAUGGAGCUGUUAACGUUCUUGUUUUUGCUUGAAUGCACAGCUCAGUGGGAACCAGAACGUUACGGUGGUGGGAACCAGCUAUAGAAUAACUUGGCUGUUUCCUUAUUCCCAGCUAGGGGAGGGGAAGCAAAAGUGAAGCGAAGGGAAAUACAAAAGGAUUUCCAGCAUUUUGAAAUCUCUGCACAAUAAAACCCUUUCAUCAUUUGU